AGCUACACACCGCAGACUGGGAAUGGAUGGGGGGUAAAACAAUAGACAUUUCAAAAUGACAUUUAACAUACUGUGGCUUUAAUGACAUUUGAUAGCCAACUCAAUCAAACUAUCUAGCUAGUUAGCUAGCAAUCUUAACUGCAGCUAACGUUCGUCAACGUUACAGAGGGUUAUGAGUAUGAAUGAACUACAGUACAUUGCUGAAGCUUGAAGUUCUGGCCUCCCCUCUUGGUCUUACCCAGAAUCAGCUUACAGAACAAAGCUGCAGGCAACUGAGUUAAAACGGAAUGGCCGGCCACCUAAAGCCAUGCGCACCUUUGGAUUGCCUCCUACCUGGGAGGUCCCCUUAGAUGUCAGACCACCACUUCAAGCUGAACAAGAUGGAGCUGCUCUUCCUCCUCACGGAAGUCUUGUCUGCUCAGAUACCUCUGUAUCUUGGUUAACAACUCUACACUGCCCCCCCCCCCCAGAGUGCAAAGAACCUUGAGUGACCCUGGACAAACCCCGGUGUUCUCUGCAAAUGUCAAGUCGGUGACAAGCCUCUGCAUGUUUACGCCCUACAAUUGUAGAAUACUACGUAAUAUGGUGAAUCUAACACCUUGUCUUUCCAAGGUGGAGCGAUUACUGGAUUCUGUACUGGGGUCAAACCCUCUCAGACCUCCAUAAGAUUUCAGUUGUAGAUUUAGGGAAGGGGCCCUUUAGUUUCCCAUGCAUUUUCCUCUAACUCAAGAGUUUUCCUCCUUUGACUUACUGUGGAAGGC